GGUAACUUCUCUUGGCCAGAAUCCUUGUUUGUCUCUAGUUUUUUGACUCCAGUUUGUCUUACAUCUUCAUGUGUGCCUUCUCAGGCGACUUCCAAGUCCUGGGUCCAAGCUCCUGUGUCUCAUUAGUGCUGGCUUUAAGCUUCAGUCAGCCUCUUGCCUAAUUCAAGACAUCAAGCCUUCAAGAAUCGCUUGGAUUGAGUUCCAGCUGACAGUUCAAGCCCUUCGACUCCUAAGAUCUCAGGCAAGUGAACCCUGCUCACCCUCCAUCUCUUGGCUCUGCAGAACCAUCCAUCAAGUCUCAAGAAACUUCACCAGAUAAUCAUUGUUUCUGUGAACUGUUGUGUGAGAAUCCAACUUCCAAGUGCUUACCUGAAUCUUCACCAGAGUGCUCUCCACUUGCCUUGGAUUAAUUCCCCGAUUCGGCAGCAACUAAUCCGUCCUCCCAGGCUCCAUCAUUCUCCCUCGGCCCACCAUGUUCUCAUCCUCUUUUGGUGCAUCCAUUACCGGUUCCAGCUCCGUAUCCACUUCCUGUCAAAAUAAACGUAACCUUUUCUCCUGAGUGUCUUUCUGCAUGUGGGUCAAAUCUGUAAAGAAAACCAUGACUUUCUUAAUUAUGCAAACAAAUGGAAACUUCAAAAAGAAAUCGGCAAUCAUCUUGAGGAUAUAUUGGGAUUUUAUACACCGUUGAUUUUCCAAACACAAUAAGGCCACUGAGACUGAUUUUGCUUUUAUUCCGGGUUAACUGACAAAUGAUACAAUUCAUGGCGACACUAAAGGUUAAUUUUUACACUGCAAGUCAGUUGUUUCCAACUUCAAGACUGAAGGUGACUCUUCAAGACCACUGCUGUCUUGCAACUUUGAGAUGCAUCCCUGCUCCAACACACUUGAAUCAAAUAAGUCAGUUACUUUCUCACCAUGCCAUGAAGGUCUUCAAAGGCCUGGUAAUGAGCAAUUCAAGUGUUUUGGAGAAGGAAUACAUCUAGAUGUUGCCAGAUAGCAGCUCUCCAGGACAGGUGUUGAACACCACUGCUAUAUGUCAUAGGUUUUGGAUUUAGAAAGAGCAGAUCAUUAACCCAAAGUAAAUACACCCCUUAAACUUUUUUUCACAUUUUGCCACAUUACGAACAAAACGUUGUGUGUUUAAUUGUGAUUUUAUAAGAUAGAGCAACACAGACUAGGAUAUAGUUAUAAAGGGAAAAAACAGAAAACUUUCCUAAAGUCUUACAAAUAUCCAAAGUGUGCCACAAAAUGGAAUUCGCCCUUGUUUUUUUCUGCUACCCCUAAAUAAAUUCCAGAGCAACCAAGCAACUUCAGAAGUCAUCUUAUGUCCAACUCUGUCUAAUGUAAUAUUAGUAUAUAGCUGUUCUGUAAAGGCCUUAGAGACUUGUUAAAGAACACAGCUCAACAUAUAGCAUCAUGAUGACCGAGGAACCCAUCAGACAGGUCAGGGAUAAAGUUGUGGAAAAGUGCAAAGCAGGGUUAUGGUUUCUAUAACAAUAUACUAAGUUUCAACAUAUAAUGGACUGCUAUUUCAAUUUUUUAGACAUUAAUGGAAAGAGUAUAACACAUUUGCAAAUCCAUUAAAGCAUGGCUGUUGUGGGAAUGUUUUUCAUUAGCAUCCAUGUGUUUGUGUUUAACAGUUAUUAGAGGAAUGGGUAAUUAUUUUCAGGUUAAAGAAGUGGAGUCAAAUUGCAACCCUUUACAUAAGUCCUGGUGACCUCUCAGGUUUUGCAAAUGGUUCUACUGUGUGCAAAACACCCCCCAAGGAUGUGACCAUAUAAGGAGUUGUUUUUUUGCCAAGGAAUGUAAGCAUGAGCUAUCUCAGGGUACUUUGUUUUGGGACUUUCUCUUAUCAGUUCUUGCCCCACCCCCAAGUGUAUGCUAUGUAUAAGGGAACUGUGUGGACUUGACUCUUUAUACUUUUUGGUUCCGGGCAAGCUGACUGCUUUCAGUGGAGGGAAAAAUUGUCACUGUAUGCAUACCAUGUUAAUAAACUUGUUUCUGAUGCAA